GAGUUUGAUCAUGGCUCAGGACGAACGCUGGCGGUAUGCUUAACACAUGCAAGUCGAACGAGACGGAAGUGCUUGCACUUCUAGAAAGUGGCGAACGGGUGAGUAACGCGUGGGUAACCUGCCCUUUGGAAAGGAAUAGCCCCGGGAAACUGGGUGUAAUGCCUUAUAAGAUACAGAAGCCGCAUGGCUUUUAUAUUAAACGCUCCGGCGCCAUAGGAUGGACCCGCGUCCCAUUAGCUAGUUGGUGAGAUAACAGCUCACCAAGGCGACGAUGGGCAACCGGUCUGAGAGGGCGAACGGUCACACUGGAACUGAGACACGGUCCAGACUCCUACGGGAGGCAGCAGUGGGGAAUAUUGCGCAAUGGGGGGAACCCUGACGCAGCAAUACCGCGUGAGUGAAGAAGGUUUUCGGAUCGUAAAGCUCUGUUAUUGGGGAAGAAAAAAAGACGGUACCCAAGAAGAAAGUUCCGGCUAACUACGUGCCAGCAGCCGCGGUAAUACGUAGGGAACAAGCGUUGUCCGGAUUUACUGGGCGUAAAGGGCACGCAGGCGGUUUUUUAAGUCAGAUGUGAAAGGCCACAGCUCAACUGUGGACAUGCAUUUGAAACUGAGAGACUUGAGUAUUGGAGAGGCAAGUGAAAUUCCUAGUGUAGCGGUGAAAUGCGUAGAUAUUAGGAGGAACACCGGUGGCGAAGGCGGCUUGCUGGACAAAUACUGACGCUGAGGUGCGAAAGCGUGGG
rnacentral:rRNA from 1 species